GGGUUGUGAGGUUAAGCGACUAAGCGUACACGGUGGAUGCCCUGGCAGUCAGAGGCGAUGAAGGACGUGCUAAUCUGCGAUAAGCGUCGGUAAGGUGAUAUGAACCGUUAUAACCGGCGAUUUCCGAAUGGGGAAACCCAGUGUGUUUCGACACACUAUCAUUAACUGAAUCCAUAGGUUAAUGAGGCGAACCGGGGGAACUGAAACAUCUAAGUACCCCGAGGAAAAGAAAUCAACCGAGAUUCCCCCAGUAGCGGCGAGCGAACGGGGAGGAGCCCAGAGCCUGAAUCAGUGUGUGUGUUAGUGGAAGCGUCUGGAAAGGCGCGCGAUACAGGGUGACAGCCCCGUACACAAAAAUACACAUAUUGUGAGCUCGAUGAGUAGGGCGGGACACGUGGUAUCCUGUCUGAAUAUGGGGGGACCAUCCUCCAAGGCUAAAUACUCCUGACUGACCGAUAGUGAACCAGUACCUUGAGGAAAAGGCGAAAAAAACCCCGGCGAGGGGACUGAAAAAGAACCCGAAACCCGGUAGGUACAAACGGGGGGAG
rnacentral:rRNA from 1 species